GGAUUAGAUACCCUGGUAGUCCACGCCGUAAACGAUGACAACUAGCUGUUGGGAUACAAUGUCUUUCAGUGGCGCAGCUAACGUUUUAAGUUGUCCGCCUGGGGAGUACGGCCGCAAGGCUAAAACUCAAAUGAAUUGACGGGACCCCGCACAAGCGGUGGAUCAUGUUGUUUAAUUCGAAGAUACGCGAAAAACCUUACCAGGUCUUGACAUCCCUUGCAAUGCUGUAGAGAUACAGUGGAGGUUAUCAAGGAGACAGGUGGUGCAUGGUUGUCGUCAGCUCGUGCCG
rnacentral:rRNA from 1 species